AAUCAACGCUGGCGGCGUGCCUAACACAUGCAAGUCGAACGCGAGAGGGGCUUCGGCCCCGAUUGAGUGGCGAACGGGUGAGUAACGCGUGGGUGACCUACCUUCGAGUGGGGGAGUAACGUCCCGAAAGGGACGCUAAUACCGCAUAACAUCCUGCUUUUGAAUGGGUGGAGAUCAAAGCCGGGGAUCGCAAGACCUGGCGCUCGAUGAGGGGCCCGCGUCUGAUUAGCUAGNGGUGAGGUAACGGCCCACCAAGGCAACGAUCAGUAUCCGGCCUGAGAGGGCGGACGGACACACUGGGACUGAGACACGGCCCAGACUCCUACGGGAGGCAGCAGUGGGGAAUUGUUCGCAAUGGGCGCAAGCCUGACGACGCAACGCCGCGUGGAGGA
rnacentral:rRNA from 1 species